rfam:Rattus norvegicus chromosome 10, whole genome shotgun sequence.
CCAACGGCUCUUUUCAGAGCCACCCACAGAUUCGGAAAACAGUGU